UACGUAGGGGGCAAGCGUUGUCCGGAAUUAUUGGGCGUAAGGAGCGCGUAGGCGGUCCGAUAAGUCGGCUGUGAAAGUCCAGGGCUCAACCCUGGAAAGCCGGCCGAUACUGUCGGACUAGAGUCCGGAAGAGGCAAGUGGAAUUCCCGGUGUAGCGGUGAAAUGCGCAGAUAUCGGGAGGAACACCAAUUGCGAAGGCAGCUUGCUGGGACGGUACUGACGCUGAGGCGCGAAAGCGUGGGGAGCAAACAGG
rnacentral:rRNA from 1 species